UGCAGUCGAGCGGUAACAGGAGAAGCUUGCUUCUCGCUGACGAGCGGCGGACGGGUGAGUAAUACUUAGGAAUCUACCUAGUAGUGGGGGAUAGCUCGGGGAAACUCGAAUUAAUACCGCAUACGACCUACGGGAGAAAGGGGGCAGUUUACUGCUCUCGCUAUUAGAUGAGCCUAAGUCGGAUUAGCUAGUUGGUGGGGUAAAGGCCUACCAAGGCGACGAUCUGUAGCUGGUCUGAGAGGAUGAUCAGCCACACCGGGACUGAGACACGGCCCGGACUCCUACGGGAGGCAGCAGUGGGGAAUAUUGGACAAUGGGGGCAACCCUGAUCCAGCCAUGCCGCGUGUGUGAAGAAGGCCUUUUGGUUGUAAAGCACUUUAAGCAGUGAAGAAGACUCCAUGGUUAAUACCCAUGGACGAUGACAUUAGCUGCAGAAUAAGCACCGGCUAACUCUGUGCCAGCAGCCGCGGUAA
rnacentral:rRNA from 1 species